GGCAUUAGAAGCUAAAUACCAGAAGCUUUUUCAACCACUAUACACUAAGGUAUAUAUUGUCUUGCA
rnacentral:sRNA from 1 species